UGGAACUGAGACACGGUCCAGACUCCUACGGGAGGCAGCAGUGAGGAAUAUUGGUCAAUGGGCGCAAGCCUGAACCAGCCAAGUCGCGUGAGGGAAGACGGCCCUACGGGUUGUAAACCUCUUUUGCCGGGGAGCAAGCCUGAGUACGUGUGCCCAGGCGGAGAGUACCCGGAGAAAAAGCAUCGGCUAACUCCGUGCCAGCAGCCGCGGUAAUACGGAGGAUGCGAGCGUUAUCCGGAUUUAUUGGGUUUAAAGGGUGCGCAGGCGGGCUGUUAAGCCGGCGGUAAAAAUUCAGGGCUCAACCCUGUCGAGCCGUCGGAACUGGCAGUCUUGAGUGGGCGAGAAGUAUGCGGAAUGCGUGGUGUAGCGGUGAAAUGCAUAGAUAUCACGCAGAACGCCGAUUGCGAAGGCAGCAUACCGGCGCCCAACUGACGCUGAGGCACGAAAGCGUGGGGAUCGAACAGGAUUAGAUACCCUGGUAGUCCACGCAGUAAACGAUGAGCGCUAACUGUCCGGAGCGAGCGAGCUCUGG
rnacentral:rRNA from 1 species